AUCCAGUUGAUGCGUCCCACAAUAGGACGAAACACGCGUAAAACUGGAU
rfam:Schistosoma haematobium scaffold895_8, whole genome shotgun sequence.